AGUGAACGCUGGCGGUAGGCCUAACACAUGCAAGUCGAACGGCAGCACAGUAAGAGCUUGCUCUUACGGGUGGCGAGUGGCGGACGGGUGAGGAAUACAUCGGAAUCUACUUUUUCGUGGGGGAUAACGUAGGGAAACUUACGCUAAUACCGCAUACGACCUACGGGUGAAAGCAGGGGAUCUUCGGACCUUGCGCGAUUGAAUGAGCCGAUGUCGGAUUGGCUAGUUGGCGGGGUAAAGGCCCACCAAGGCGACGAUCCGUAGCUGGUCUGAGAGGAUGAUCAGCCACACUGGAACUGAGACACGGUCCAGACUCCUACGGGAGGCAGCAGUGGGGAAUAUUGGACAAAGGGCGCAAGCCUGAUCCAGCCAUACCGCGUGGGUGAAGAAGGCCUUCGGGUUGUAAAGCCCUUUUGUUGGGAAAGAAAAGCAGCAGGUUAAUACCCCGCUGUUCUGACGGUACCCAAAGAAUAAGCACCGGCUAACUUCGUG
rnacentral:rRNA from 1 species